UACGUAGGGUGCAAGCGUUAAUCGGAAUUACUGGGCGUAAAGCGUGCGCAGGCGGUGAUGUAAGACAGUUGUGAAAUCCCCGGGCUCAACCUGGGAACUGCAUCUGUGACUGCAUCGCUGGAGUGCGGCAGAGGGGGAUGGAAUUCCGCGUAUAGCAGUGAAAUGCGUAGAUAUGCGGAGGAACACCGAUGGCGAAGGCAAUCCCCUGGGCCUGCACUGACGCUCAUGCACGAAAGCGUGGGGAGCAAACAGG
rnacentral:rRNA from 1 species